GAGGACGCAAACGAAUCCUAAACUCAUCGUCCUCCUUCCCAAUCUCAAACUCAGAAAUCUCUCUAACUCAUAACUCUCUCAAGCGAAACCUCUCUCUGCUCUCAGAAUCGCUUAUCAAGCUCGACCUCGCUCACUUCUCUCACUCUCCCAACGAGUCUCUCUCAAUCGCGUCACUCUCAAUUUCACUCACACCAAACCCUCUUUCAAUCGCGUGUCCUCAAACUCUCGUCUCUCUCACAAAACCGCUCAAACAUCGUCUCUCAAACAAAACACAAAGCGCGACAAGACAAAUCCAUGGUUCCCAAAAGAAAAUUGGACAGGACGGCUAACCUUCGACGGUGACGGCGAGCUCAGGGUUUUCAGGUUUGGUCUGGUGGAGUUCAGAAGGGGAAAAUUUCCAGAAACGCUUUUUGUGCUCAGCAUCGAGUUUGUCUUGUUUCAUGCUACAAUCCGGAAACGUGAAAUUGGUUACAAGUGGACACAUUGAAGAAGCUGAGGAUUUGAUGAAGAUUCCCUCGUGUUUGCAGUUAUCCAUCGCAAACUUUGUGUAUACUUGUUAUAAUAGUGCCAACAAGAUCAAAACUUCCAGGCUGCAAGAAUUUACUGACUGCAAAUAUGUAUGGGAAGGUAGCUUGGGCUGAGGCUUGUACAGAACCAUUGUUGAAAACCUGGGCAGUAAGAUUCUGAACAUACAGACGAUGAUCGACAGGAAGGUGAAUGCUGGCCUUGAUCGAGAUGGACUGACGCCUCUUGAAAUAGAAGGAGAUACCGUUGUGGUCCUACUAGGAACAGAUUUGAGAGGUCUUAGUGCCUGGAAGCUGUCAUCAAAUGAUUUCACUUCGCUUCCUAUUCUACCAUUUUCAACAAGUGACAACAGCCUUGCAACUCAGUAGCAGUUUUCUGCAAGGGCCUACUUGCAUCACCUGGUAACGAAAAUCUUCUAAGUGAAGAUACACCAAUUCCUGGAACAGAACUGAGGUAGUGAAGUGAUAGGUGCUGGAAAACAGGGUUGUAAUGAAAUGGCUAUUGCUUCUUCGGUGUUACCGGUUCGUCUUUGAUUAACAUUCUCUUUUACUAACUGAAUUUCAAUAAGCAAUGCUUCUUUGUUCAAAAAUCUGAGAAAACAUGUCGCACAAAGUGUCUAAAUUGGUUGUUGUGGCUUUCCCUAAGGUAAUGGUUCUGGUUGAGGAAUGUUGUAGGCCAUUGGAAUGCAUAUGCAUUUGGCGUUGGUCUGAGUAUGGUAUUGGUUAGGUUAGAUGCUGACUUGAUGCAGGUUUCUGGAAUUUCGCUGGAGGGAUUCUAGCACGAUGAUAGGUCAGUGGUAUGUAAAUGUCAUGGUCAUAUGAUGGAAAGGCUUGCAUCAUGAACUUGGCAUGUAGUUGUGCAUUAUUGUCUUGAUGCUAAUGAUGAGGAAACUACUGCUAACAUACUGUCAAGGUUGGAACUGAAGGUUAAUUUAAUUGGAAUAUUAAUGAACUUCCAUGCUAUUGGUUUCAAAUUGAAGUCAGCUUGUGAACAUUGUGCCUGCUGCUAACUUUGUUGUUUGUUGCAGGUUCUACUUGUUUUGUUGUGUUGGAGAGUGUUAUGCAUUUCCAUUGUUGGAACUGCUGCAGGCUGAUUGCAAUGCAUUGUUUUAUGAUGUUUGGCCAUUGUUUGCUUAUUUGUGAUUACAAGUUUGAAGGCUACUUGAUGUUGUUGCUGACCUAUUUUGUAGUUUUCUUUUGUAGCUCAAUGCAGGUCCAUUGGUUCACUCCCCUUGGUAUCUUGGUCAUGAGCAUAUGGAGUUUUCAUCGUGGAAUCAGAGGACGUCCGAUGAGACUAGGCUAAACAUGUACACACCGUUUUGGAAAAAUGAUGGGUUCAAGCACGAAACUGACAAGACUUUGCUAGUUCCCCUCAAAGAGUCCUGCAACAUGCGUGGACAUGGACAAUCAAUCCCAAGUGGCUUCUACGAGCACGCUCAACUUCUUUUUGGGUCCAGCUGUGUGUGCAGAACAUGCUGGCACAACGACCGAAUAAACGGUAGAGAAGCCUCACAUUGCUGGCAGAGAAAAUAUACUACUGGUCCAGAUGAAAGAUUGAAUUCCAUGGAAAAUCUUUGUAGCAAAUUAUCAGUGUAAUCUCAAGAUAACUAACAACCACGCGAACUGAUCCAAAAGUUGCAUCCAUAAAUAAACCAACCUUCGGGUGUGCAGCAAAACAUUGGCAAUAUCUUGAAACUGUGUUGAUGUAAACCCAACGGCGGGGUAUUAUUUAUUUCAUUUUAGGUGCAAUCAGGAUUAUUUGGCAUGAGGUUCAGUGAAACCGGCUGAACUGUCACAGGCUCGUUAGUAUGCAGGCCUUCCCCUGGAUCUUGAAUAUCCUCUAAAGUAGUAUUAAUGUUUUGUGUUAGAGCAGUUUCCUAGGUCUUUUGUAUCAACUUUUCAGCAACUCAUUUUUUUGAAUUUGAUUCAGUAUUGUCUUGUAUCUUGUAUGUGUAACAUGUAUCAACAAUGGGAACAUCAUUUUCUAUC